AAAAAAAGAGUGACUUGAUGGAGCUUGUAAUUCUUGUCCCAUGUUGUUUCUUCCUCGUAGCUUUACUAAAGUUCCUUUAUGAUUACCUGUGGGUACCUCUCCGUAUACAGCGUAUGAUGAAUUCACAGGGAAUCAAAGGACCUCCUUACAGAUUCAUCCAUGGAAACAGCAAGGAAGUUGCCAGAAUGGAACAAGAAGCAUUAAGCAAACGUAUGGCCUUAACAGAUGAUAUAUUUCCCAAAGUACUGCCACAUUUUUACACCUGGAUCAACAGAUAUGGUAAGAUCCAUGCAUGUUUUUUCAUUAUGAUUUAUAACUCGUAGUUCUAAGAAAAGAUUGACCUUUUUCUUUUCAAGUGAUUAGGGAGGAAUUUUGUUUAUUGGAACGGUGCGCGACCUGAAUUGGUGAUUUCAGAGCCUGAAUUAAUCAAAGAGGUUCUGCAAACUAGUGAAAAAAAAAUUCAAGAAAAGAGCCUUUCAGAUAUUGGUAAGGAGUUCCUGGGGAAUGGGCUUCUAUUCAUUGCGGGGGAAAAAUGGGCAAAGCAUCGAAAGCUAGCCAAUCACGCUUUCCAUGGGGAAAGCCUUAAGGUAAAUCCUCCAGUAUGAUUAAUUGACAAGAAUUAUACAGACUACAGAAUUUUGUAUUGUUGCCUAACAACCAGUUUAUAGUCGAAGUUGAAAGUAUUCGUAGAAAAGUAUUUUUUUAACCUCAAUAGUAAGCAAAGUCUAAAUAGUAUGUGGCAACUACUUAUAUAUUGAAGGAUUGUUUGGGCAGAACAUGACUCCAGCAAUAAUUGCUAGCGUUGAAACAAUGCUAGAAAAGUGGAAAGGUCAAGAAGGCAGAGAGAUUGAAGUGUUGAAAGAAUUUAGGUUAUUGACUUCAGAAGUGAUUUCCAGAACAGCUUUUGGUAGCAGUUACUUAGAAGGGGAGAAGAUUUUUGCCAUGUUACAGAAGUUGACAAUAAUUAUGAGUCGAAAUCUUUUUAAGACUAGAAUUCCUUUGAUCAGGUAUCUUCCCUAUAAGCUUAAUUAAUCCCAACUUUUACCUUGAUUUCAGCUAGCUUUUGAAUGCAACUUUUGGACUUUCAUUCCCAUGGAUUUGGUUUUCUCCUUAUAUAUAGCUGACCAUUGUUUGCUUUUGCAGCAAGUUGUGGAAAUCUUCUGAUUUGCUAGAGUCUGAAAAACUUUCAAAAGAAAUAAAAGAUCGUGUGAUGAAGAUUGUUAAGAAAAGAGAAGACGAAGCUGUGAAUGGAGAAGUCAAUAGCUUUGGCAAUGAUUUUCUUGGAUUACUUGUAAAUGCCUAUCAUGAUUCGGACGAGAAAAACAGGUUUUCAUUGGAAGACUUGUUAGCUGAAUGCAAAACAUUCUAUUUUUCUGGACAAGAAACUGUUAAUUCCUUACUUUCAUGGAUAGUCUUGCAUUUGGCAAUCCACGGAGAUUGGCAAGAAAAAGCGAGAAGAGAGGUGAUUGACAUAUUUGGUAACCAAAAUCCGCAUCUCGAAGGCGUCGCCAAACUCAAAAUAGUAAGAAAACUAUCUAACUGGGAAUUCAAAUAGCCAUCAACAUGAUGUAAUCUAACAUAUUUUUCUAUUUUCCAAACAGACGACCAUGAUCAUCAAUGAAACUCUAAGAUUGUAUGGUCCAUCAAAUGGCCUGGCAAGAGCAGUUACAAGAGAUGUUCAGUUGGGAAAGCUACUCUUGCCUGCUAAUAUAAGUAUUCUGCCUUUAUAUAUUGGAAUUCACCAUGACCCUCACUUUUGGGGAGAUGAUGUGCAUCAUUUUAAACCCGAGAGAUUCGCUGAAGGGAUUGCGAAAGCUACCAAUUAUACCGCGGCUGCAUUUCUUCCCUUCGGGUUGGGACCUCGAUCUUGUGUUGGUAUGACAUUUGCAACAAUAGAAACCAAGAUUGUUCUCUCCAUGAUUCUACAACGUUACACCAUUACCCUCUCCCCUGCCUAUAUCCACUCUCCGAUAUCCAUUCUCAGCAUUAGACCACAACAUGAAAUUCAGGUGAUACUUGAACCACUGCAUCAUAAUGCUUGAAGUACAUAGCUGUUAAGAACUAAGGGUUUAACGUGGUUCAUGUAUUUUAGGUUUAAGAGAUGACAUUUAAUAUGUUUAAGGUUCCAGCAUUUGCAUCCCCUUCCCUAUCCUAAGCUAUACCCACCUUUAUACAUAAUGAAAUUCAAGUAGCUACUGAUUUCCAAGAUGGUAAAACGCAAUCAAUAAAGAAGAAUAUGUUGAGGCAAGUUUCGGGAACAGUGACUUGAAAACUGACAACUGCACUCGGCACGUGUCCCUUAUUUGUUAGCAUGUUUAAAAUAAAUAUUUUAAAAUAAAUAUUUUAAUUAUUUGCUUGCAUCUUUUUAAAGAUUUUGUACAUUCUUAAACUAAUGGUUAUACUAAGGCUUGUUAGCGGUUUAAACUUUGGGCAAAGCACAAUAGACGUAGAUAUGUUCUCCCUCAUUGGUGUCGAAUUUACUAAAAAUAAAUUCUUCUACUUGAUACUGAAAUUAAAUUUAUAAUAUAGAGAGUAAAGUCGAUCCCACAUAAGUUAAUCUAUCCAAAUAUAUAUUCUUUAUAACUAGAACGUGUCCCAAGUAGUUUUUAUGCCCAUGACUUGUGCGAACCUGUACCAAAAAUAAGAGGGGAUAAAAUCUGAAAAAUAAAUAAACAACCGAAAUUAAUUAAAAAUAAAAAUAAAGUAGAAAUAAGUAAAAUGAAAUAAUAUUAUUGAAUUAAAUAAUUUCAGUUUUUAUAAAAAAAAUUUAUCAUACACACCUGGAAAAUAUGAAACACAUGGUUAAAUCUUAUUGGCUUCUGGACUAAAAAUAUUAAAUAAAAGAAAGUUUUGGGUAAAAACAAUUUAAACAUGAAUGUGAGAAAGUGAGUAUAGUUUAAGAGCUAAAAUAUGAAUAAAGUCUAAAUAAAUUCCUAAAAUAUAAAAAUUCAUAAAUACAUUAAUGUGAUUAUAUAUAAUCAAAAUUAAAUAUUAAAAUCAAACUAAAUAUGAUUUAAACUUGAAUGAAACUCGUAAUUCUCGUAAAAUUCUUAUUCAAAAAUAAGUUUUUGAACUCGAAAUAAGAAAAUAAAUUUAUUAAAAGAGGAAACCACUGGAUGAUACAAGUCCUUGCAAGAGCAAUUACAAAAUCUGCUGAACUGCACAAUUAACAUACACCAAUAUGACAUCACCACAAGAAAAGCACACUUUACCAAUGCCAGAAAACCAUAGCCCGGAGCAGAAAACAAGAAGCGAGAGAGCAAGUUAUAUCUGAAAACAAGCACUACUACGAAACCCUUCUCAACAUGGCAAACACCACAUCAGAAACUAAGACAAACAGCAGCUCCACCCAUAAUCCAGAACCAAGCAACUAACUAUAGUGAUCGCCCUUGCUUAAAAAAAACAAAGAAAACUUUACAUAGAUCAACGAGUAAGCAUUGGACCUCACCCCAAGUAAGAAAACGAUCCAUCAAACCUUGAAAAAGCUUUAGACACCAUCACUUAUCAGUAGAUAAGAAACCUAAAACAGAGCCAACACCAGCAACACCUUAUCAAGACCAACAGCCUAGAAAAAAUCUCAAUGGAACCGAUAUCAAACGAAACUCAAUGCCAUAUCGGCUCCCAUAAAACUUUCAAACCACCCCACUGUAGCUCUUAAGACUGACGAUAACCAUACUUUAAAAUCACCAAAGCAUCCACUUCGAGAGACACCUUCAACCAUAACACAAUGAAUAGACUCAAAUUCAAUUCUAUAAUCACAACAUACAAAAAAAGACAGAAGCCAUAUUCAAUAAAAUAACAGCCUCAACCAAUCAGUAGGCCCAUAAAAGGCACAAAACACCAUAAUGCAUCAUCCAACCUCAACAACAUAGGGUUUGUUUAUCAUGGUGUUAUAAUCAAUAUUGGGUUCAAACCCACUAUAAGUAUAUUUUUAUUGAUUUUUAUUAUCUAGAAGAGUAGAUAUUAUACACGAACAUUUUAGUUAUUAGAUAUUUGUAAUAUUAAUGGUAAGGAUGUUGACAUGUGUCAACAAUUCAAUGGCCGCUAAACCUUAUAAAUAGGGAUAGUAGUUUUCAUUUCUGGUACCUAUGUGCAACAGAGAAGUGUGUGUCAUAUUGUAAUUGUAUUGUGCAUUAAUAAAGUGUUCUUUCCUCUUAUAAUUGUAAGUCCCGGCUAAGCCUUAGUUUUCUAAGCACUUAGUGCACUUGAGGAGUUAGCUUCUAUAUAUGGUUGGUUCUACAGUUUGAAUGAUAUAUGAUCGGCUCUGCCGCUUGAAUAAUAUAUGAUCAGCCCUGUUGCCUUAGUAUUAUAGUGCAUUAAGAAGUUAGAAAAUAAAAGGUUAACCGGCUCAAAAAAUUCGUUGGAAUAUUUCUUGUAGGUCUUAGGUCUUCUAUAAUGGGUGUGUUGGGCUCAUCGAGUUCCCAACAACAAAUUUUAGGAUGUUUAUUCCUAUGGAUUUAGUUUUCUCCUUAUAUAUGGUUGACAUUAGUUUGCUUUUACAGCAAGUUAUGGAAACGCGUUGAUAUGCUGAAGUCAGAAGAACUUGCAAAAGGAAUUCAAGAUUGUGUGAUGAAAAUUGUUAAGCAAAGAGAAGACAAAUUUGUGAAUGGAGAAGCUGACAGCUUUGGCAAUGAUUUUUUAGGAUUACUUGUAAAUGCAUAUCAUGAUUCGGAUGAAAAUAACAGGCUUUCAAUGGAAGACUUGGUAGAUGAGUGCAAAACAUUCUACUUUGCCGGACAGGAAACUGUUAAUUCCUUACUUGCUUGGAUAGUCUUGCUUUUAGCAACUCACGGAGAUUGGCAGGAUAAAGCUAGAAGAGAGGUGAUUGACAUAUUCGGUAACCGAAAUCCAGAUUCCAAAGGCAUUUCUAAACUCAAAACUGUAAGUAAAUUGUCAAAUAUUCCUAUAUAUUUUUUAUCUCAAUCUCAAAGCUGGUGUUUCAAUCACGUCUUGUUUAUCGCAAUCACAAAUGUAACAAAUAUUAUGUGUUUAGUACAUAUUCUUUAAUUUAAUCUGACCUAUUCUUGUUUUGCAAACAGAUUACUAUGAUUAUUUAUGAAACACUAAGAUUGUAUGGUCCAUCAAAUGGCUUGCAAAGAAGAGUUACAAGAAAAGUUCAGUUGGGAAAGCUAGUCUUGCCUGCUAAUAUAGAUAUUCUGGUUCAAAAUAUUGCACUUCACCAUGAGCCUCACCAGUGGGGAGACGAUGUACAUCUUUUUAAACCAGAGAGAUUUGAAGAAGGGAUUGCCAAAGCUACCAACUACAAUGCUGCUGCAUUUUUUACCUUCGGAUUGGGACCUCGAUCUUGUAUUGGUAUGUCCUUUGCAAUCACGGAAACUAAGGUUGCAAUCUCCAUGAUUCUACAACGCUACACCAUUACCCUCUCCCCUACCUAUGUCCACUCACCAAUGCCUAUUCUCGCCAUUCGACCACAACAUGGAAUUCAAGUAAUACUUGAGUCACUGCAUAACAAUGCUUAAAGUACACAAUAGCUAAGGGACUUGAGGUUUAACUCAAUUUGUUUAUGUAUUCACCUUUAGGUGUUAAAAUUUAAUAUAUGUGGCACUUUUAACAUUAGUAACCCCUUCCUAUUCCUAUGCUAUACCCUACUCAACGCAAAAACAUGGUAAAACAUGCAAUCCAUAAAUAUAUAUAUAUAUAUAUAUAUGUGUGUGUGUGUGUAUGUGUGUUUCAGUAUUGUUGAUCAAUAUAUAAUUUUUACUAGCUAUGCCUUAUUUCAUUUGAAUUGCAGUAUUACAUCCUAAAGCCUUUCCAGCAAGCAAUAGCAGCAAGAAUUAAACUAAGUUGUGAACAUCGAUACAUUGUACGAUAGGCUUGAUCAAGAGCAUUAGCCAAACAACAGCAGCAAACAUAUCCCAUAGAUGCCACUUGAUAUCAAACACCAUAGAUACCACUCGAUAUCAAGCACCACCAUGAAUUAAACAUGGGUCUCCUCUUGAUUCUAGGUUUAACGAACGACUCUGCCAUGCCAUUCCUCUCACAAUUUACAUGAUGAAAAAGCACCGAACCAAUCUCAAUCACAAUUCAAUGAAUGUCAGAAAAAUACCCCGAAGCUUCCUGUUGGGGUUAUCAGGACAUAGAACAAGGAAGCAAGAUGCAUGAAAUAUUUUUACUUGCUCACAAUCUUGCAGCAAGGGAGAUUAUGGCUGAUAGCUCAUUUUGCUCAUUCAUUCAACUAGAAAACAAUACAUUUAUAACCAAAUACAUCACUAAAUACUGCCUACUACCACUAAGUAGCCUAGUAACUUGUUAACAUUGCUUGUGCACAUAAACAAGCCACCUAAACUAGUCAUUCAACUACCUAAACACUUCAAGCUUUUAUCAGCUUGUUCAUUUUCAACUAAUUUAAUUACAAUGUAACUAAACAAAAAACUUGUUAAUGCAGCAUGCACAAGAGCUGCAACAUGCAAAUAGCUUGCAUGCACUUUAAAAAAAAUAUAACAACAGCAUGGUUGGCCACUUUUCAACACUUCCAUGGUCUUUCAGAUUUGUUUUUUAUACCAACAAUCAGACCAUUAGCGUAGCAUCUUUUCGAUUGGAUAAAAAGAGCAAGAGUAUGCUUAAUUGCUGCAAUUUCCGCAAGUCCAUUAUCUUACCUAAAUUCUCCACGAUCAAUUAUCUCGUUAAAUUCUUUACUGCCUUCAAUAUUACCACUACAGUCUAUUCUUUCGCUUCUAUCUUGAACUACGUUAAAAUCGCCCAGCACACCCAAUUACCAUUGUGAGAGCUUCUCAGGUCCAAGACCUUCUACCAUAGCACUUUUUGAUCAAUUACAGAACACGAAGCAUAUAAAUUUUGGAUCCAACACUCAAAGAAUCAAUAUCCCAGACGACCAAGAGACCUCUUGAGCGUCCAAUUGAAGGGGAGAAAGAGAAUCCAAAAACAUCAUAAGGCCACAAAGAUCUAAUCUUCUGAUCCUUCACACUCACCAUUUUACUUCCAUGAAGACAGUUCGUGUCCAAUUUAUUAAGAACUACUGCUAGUCUCACCACUUUGUACUUAAUUUUAGCACCAAUACCCCUGAUAUUCCAAGAUAGGAUCGACAUUUGGAUCAAAGGCAAUAAAGCCACAAAAAACACUAGCAAGCAUAAACACAACCAAAAUUUAAAGAAAACAGAAACCGAUGAAAAUACCAACCAAAAACCUGCAACACACCAGACCUGCAGCAUAUUGAAUCGACAUUCUUAACCAAGUUUCUAUCGUUGCAUUCUAAAGUAAUCAACUUUACCUAGUCUUCACAAUUCGCAGACAACCCCAAAAGCUUUCCCACAUUCCAAGUUCCUUCGCCACUUGACUCAAGGUUCUUCGCCUAUUCUGCAGAUCUGAGUCAGUGAGAAUCUGACUAGCAAAUCUAUCACUCUAGUUUGAGUUUUCCAACCCCUUCUUUUACUAGUUCUUAUCCGCUCUUUCCCAAAAGAUAUCUUCAAUGUCGUCGGUGGAUUUCAACCUUCUCUCCUUCUUAGUAGCAACAACGACAAUUUCCCAAUCUAAAAGUUACCACAUAUGUCUUCACCUGGACUAGAAGAAGAGAACACCUUCUCCAUAGCCCUCCUUGCAUUAUAGUCCACCAGGCAAGAUUGGCCCACAUCAGUAUUCACCUCAUUUUUGAUCCAUUCAACUUUGGGUCAGAAGGGAACCCAUCUUGAAUGUUCUCCCCAUUUAAGUCAAAACGGUGUGUAUCUUAAAUAGUAAUUGACUAAGAUAAAUCUUCAUUUCUAGAAAUUUUUUACCCAGCUGUACUAAAGCACCUCUGAGCAUCCUCGUACAAAGAUCUUUCUUUGGUUUCUAUGCCGCCCGCAUUUGACAUCUCUAAGAACUGCUCAUCGAGUGCAUAUCCUCUCUCCCUCCCCCCCUGUGCUCUCGUCAUUUAGAAUCUAAAUCGCUAUCUUCUCAUUGUCAUAGUAACGACUAGCUAACUCAUCGGAACCGAUAUCGGUGAAGAAAGAAAAGGGGUCGAAGCUAUAACACAACCGACAACUCAAGGACAUCACUAAAUUCCAUUACUAUGAUGUCGAGAAAAUUCAGCAUAUUUAAUAAUACAAUGAGAUUUAUAUUAUAUAUUUUCAAUUUUUUUAAUACUCAUUUUGUACAUUCAAAAUUUUUAAAAUUAACUGUAUCGAGGAGUGUUUAUCACAAUUUAUUAAUAUGAUACAGUACAAAUUUUAAAUAUGUAAAAUAUCGUAGUUAUACAUAUAUGCAACAAAUUUUAUUCGAAGAAAAAAUUUAACUACUAAUUAGAUUCAUUUAAUUAUUAAUUAUGCUGUCUAUGAGACAUGUUUCCUUUCCCUUAAGAAAUAUUAAUUAAAUAAUAAAUUUAUCAAGUGUACGAUAGGUAAAUAACUAACUACUUUUCAUAAAUUCUCUUUUCUUUCAAGGGUGGUAUUGAGAACUCUAAUUGUUCUCUUAUUUGUCUAUUUCUUUCCACUUCUAAUGACCAAAAGUAAUUAUUACUAAUAAGAUAUCCAAGAAUCAAGUAAUAAGUGUCACAAUUCACAAUGCCUAGAACUAUCUAUAGUGAUCUCUUCUCAAUCCAUAAUUAGGAGGAUAAUGCACUUCAGCACACUUAAACCAACAUACUCCUGCAUUGACAAUAAUACCUAUACUAAUCGAGUUAAGACUUAAUCGGUAAAACUUAAGUAUAAUUGAGUGACUGACGAUGUUGCUUGUUCUUCCAUAACACAAUAAUGAUUCUUUUAUUAUUUAUGCUCAAUUGAUUUUUUUUCCCUGUCAAUGCUAAUAAUUUUAUUUUGUAAUAAUAUAUUUCUAACAACCUAGGUCAUUCAUCCUAAUACUAUUCUCGCUCAAGCACAAGAGAAUUCUGAUAUAAUUUGGUGCAUUAAUAUUAGUAUCAUCUCACCCUCAAAAACGUAUAAAUAAUGACUAAAUUAUUUCAAGCCUCCUCAUUAAUGGUAAGACAUUACAGCACAGAUAUGAUAUUUUACCUUAUCUACGAAGGAACAAAAGGAAAGAUGACAACCAUAUCCCACUCAAUUACCAUUUAAAUGCUUUGUUAAAUAUGGAAAUCACAAUAGAAUAACUAAAGGAGCAACUGGAUUCAGUGUUGAGAGAAGGAAAAAUGAGUGGCUUGAUGGAGCUUGUGAUUCUUGUCGCGUGUUGUUUCUUCCUCGUAACUUUAAUCAAGUUCCUUUACGAUUAUCUGUGGAUACCUCUGCGUAUACAGGAUAUACUGAAUUCACAGGGAAUCAAAGGACCUCCUAUCAGAUUCAUCCAUGGCAACAACAAGGAAAUUGCCAAAAUGAAACAAGAAGCAUUAGGCAAACCUGUGGCCUGGACAGAUGAUUUAUUUCCCAGACUACAGCCACAUAUUUACAGCUGGAUCAACAGAUAUGGUAAGAUCCAUGCAGUUUUUUUUCACUAAGAUUUAUAACUCGUAGUUCUAAGAAAGAUUGAUCCUUUUUCUUUUUAUGUGAUUAGGGAAGAACUUUGUUUAUUGGGACGGUGCUCGAGCUGAAUUGGUGAUUUCUGAGCCUGAACUUGUUAAAGAGGUUUUGAAAAAUAGUAAAAAUAUUUUUCAAAAAGUGAAGCUUCCAGAAAUUAGUAGGAAGCUCAUGGGGAAUGGGCUUGCGUUCACUGAGGGGGAAAAAUGGGCAAAGUAUCGAAAGCUAGCCAAUCACACUUUCCAUGGGGAAAGCCUAAAGGUAAAUCCUCCAAAUAUAUAAACUUGGUGUAAUUAAUUUACGAGAAUUAUACACACACUACAAUAUUUUAGUAAAGUUUUGUAUUGUUUGCUAAGGAUGAGUUUCUCAUCGAAGUUAAGAAGUAUCGUGAAAAAAUAUUUUUCAAAAGUUUGAUUAUGUUUACCACAUAAAAUGUUAGAUAUAAAUUAAAAAAAGUAAUUUCAUUGAAAGCAUUAUUCCAAAAAAAAAAAACAAAAUAAUUAUUUUUUGGCUUUCUAGCUUAGAAUAAAAUCUAAUUUGAAUUCAUGCAUGGUUUUGUGUUGAAAAGUGUUUUCCAUCGCUACUACUUACAUAUUGGAGGAUUCUUUGGACAGAACAUGACUCCAGCAAUGAUUGCUAGUGUUGAAACAAUGCUAGAAAAGUGGAAGGGCCAAGAAGGCCAGGAGAUUGAAGUGUUUCAAGAAUUUAGAUUAUUGACUUCAGAAGUGAUUUCCAAAACAGCAUUUGGUAGCAGUUACUUGGAGGGGGAGAAGAUUUUUGCCCUGCUGUACAAGUUGAAAAUACUUGUUAAUCUAAAUAUGUCCAAGACUACAAUUCCUUUCAUCAAGUAUGUUCCCUAUAACCUUAGUUAAUCCCAAGUUUUUCCUUUAUUUCAAUUAGCUUUUGAAUGCAAAUUUUGGACUUUUAUUCCCCAUAGCUUUUGGUUUUCUCCUUAUAUAUAGCUUACCAUAGUUUGCUUUUCCAGCAAGCUAUGGAAAUCUACUGAUUUGCUAGAGUCUGAAAAACUUGCAAAAGGAAUACAAGAUUGUGUAAUAAAGAUUGUUAAGAAGAGAGAAGACCAAGUUGUGAAUGGGGAAGCCGAUAGCUUCGGCAAUGAUUUUUUUGGAUUACUUGUAGAUGCCUAUAAUGAUUUGGAUGAGAAAAAUAAGCUUUCAUUGCAAGACCUGGUAGAUGAAUGUAAAACUUUCUACAUUGCCGGACAAGAAACAGUUAAUUCCCUACUGGGAUGGAUAGUCUUGCAUUUGGCAAUCUAUGGAGAUUGGCAAGAAAAAGCAAGAAGGGAGGUGAUUGACAUAUUUGGUAACCAAAAUCCUCAUCUCGAAGGCAUCACCAAACUUAAAACAGUAAGCAAACAAUCAAACCAAGAUUUUAAAUAGCCUUCACAACAUGAUGUAAUCUAACAUAUUUUCUAUUUUGCAAACAGAUGACCAUGAUCAUCAAUGAAACUCUAAGAUUGUAUGGUCCGUCAAAUGGCUUGGCAAGAACAGUUGCAAGAGAAGUACAGUUGGGAAAGUUAGUCUUGCCUGCUAAAUUAGAUAUUCUGCCUCUAAAUAUUGGACUUCACCGUGACCCUCACUUGUGGGGGGAUAAUGUGCAUCUUUUUAAACCAGAGAGAUUUGCCGACGGGAUUGCCAAAGCUACCAAUUACACCGCGGCUGCAUUUUUGCCCUUCGGAUUGGGUCCUCGAUCUUGUGUUGGUAUGACAUUUGCAACAAUAGAAACCAAGAUUGCUCUGUCCAUGAUUCUACAACGUUACACCAUUACUCUUUCCCCUGCCUAUGUCCACUCUCCAAUACUUAUUCUCACCGUUCGACCACAACAUGGAAUUCAAGUAAUAAUUGAACCGCUACAUAAUAAUUUUUGAAUUACAUAGCUAUUAAGAGAUGACAAUUAAUAUAUCUAAGGUUCUAGCUUUUACUGCCCCUUCUCUAUUCCUAAGCUAUUCCCACCUUUAUAUAUAAUGAUAUGCAAGUAGCUACCGGUUUCCCAUAUGGUAAAACAUGCAAUCAAUAAAAAAGAAUGUGUUAAGGCAAGUUUUAGGAGUAGUGACUCAAGAUGUGACUGUUACACUUGGCACUACGCAAGCCACAAAAUUUUCCUUAUUUGUUGGUAAUUUUGACCCAAAUAUUUUGAUUAUUUGCUUGCAUCUUUUUUAGAAUUUGAUGCGGUCGUUGAAAGCACAAAAAAUAUCUUAUCCCUAAUAAAUAAUGAAAAAGAAUAGUAAAAGGGAAGUUGGGUCAAAUCCUUAGGGACUGAACUUGCAAAAUAUCUUGCUCCGUAAAAUCCUAGGCAAAAUCUUGCCCAAGAAAACUUGGGUACCUGAAAAAAAUAAAAUAAAAAAAUAACAUAAUUAAAUGUUUGGAUUUGAAAACGAAAAAUAAAAUAAAAACAAAUUUAAGAAUAUUGAAUCUAAAAUUAGAGAAAUUAAAAAUAGAAUUGAGAGAAAAGAAAUUCUUAUGGGAGAUUCCAGCCUCCAGUUGUCUCGUUCCGCCUUGGGUUCAAUCCUCGGCUUUUAGAUGAUCCUUCCCAAACCCAAUAAGCCAGUUAUAGUGGAAGAGGACGCCUACGACCACCAGCUCCAAGGAUUUAGACUUACGAUUUAGUGGAAUUUGACUCUAGCCAACAAUCACUUCUGUGGGAUCGUCUUAUGCUAGAUCAACGCUUCUCAAUGGCAAAUCCCACGCCAUUUUGUCUCUUGGGCUCGCCAACCUCUGACGCAGUAAGCUAACGAACCGACUGUGCAACCUUCCCAAAACAUACAAAGCGGCCGCCUUUGCAUACGUUGAAAAACUUACUUUUUAAGGGACAUGGACGGAAGCGUCAGCCCCGUAGUGCGGAGAAACGAAGAAUACUCAGCGAGGAGGCUAAGUACGAAUUCUAAGCCUCAUGAACUCUUUUGGGGAUUUUUGACAACCUUCGGCUAGAUGGGUUUAGUGGCUCAUGGUUGUGGUAGAAAAGAAAAUAAAUAAAUAAAAAUAAAGAUUUUAUUAAAAAGAAAUAUGAGAAGAACAAAAGCCUAAACUUUUGGGGAGAAAGUGUUUUCAGAAAAAUAUCUGGAUCCCCUUUUGAGUCACUUCACCCCCUAUUUAUAGUGCUAGGGGAGAUAGUCUAAUCCUACUUAAAUUCCUAAAAGAUAAAUACAUUUAAUUGAAGAUAAAUAAAGAUAAAAUAAAAUCCUAAAAAUAAUCCUUAAUAAUUAUCUCAAUAUUAAUUAUCCUAAUAUAAUUAAAAUAAAGUUUAAUAGAAUAAAAUCUCUUCUUUUUGCAUUUCAACCCUUGUGUCCUCCAUGCUUGCACUUUUGGCACCAACUUUUCCUCUUGUGUCGCACAUUGGCCCAUUUUAUCUCUAAAUUCACGCUUUUGGCCCUAAAUUUUGCUUUUGCCUCAAAUUUAGUCCCUAUGAGAUAAAAGAUCAUAAAUAGCUCAAAUUAGCAAGAUCAUACUCAGAAUAAAUACAUAAUUAAUACAUAAAAAUACAUUAUUCUAGAGUGUUAUCAGAAUAUUGUUUAGAUAAUCUCGUGUUUAUUAUUAAAGAAGAGAUUGAAUCAAAUAAAAUUACUUUUCAAGGAUUCUUAUGUGGCCUACUUACCUUAUAUACUAAGAUAUGCAAUCCAAGAAGAUGUAGACUAACUUUAUGAUAUUUUAUAUCCUUAUAUUAAUGAUAAUUGAUUUGAUGAGAUUUUGAUAAAUCAAGAUGAAUUAAAAGUUACUUUGUGAAGGUGGGUUUGUGCUCUAAAUAUGGAAGGUGUAAGGCCCAAUAUUUGCCCGGCUCAUAAACCAAAAAAUAAGCCAGUUAAAAGCCCAUGAAUCAAAAAAUAAUAAUACAAAAACAAAAUUAAUAAUAGUCUAAAUGUCCAUUUACAGACAUCAAACCCAAUCAACCCAAUUGGCCUAGAUCCUAGCCCAAACCUAAACCCGAUUCUAAUGCCCAUCAGCCAACCCCAGCCCAAUGGCCCAAAUCCACCGAAACCCUAGCCUUCUUUAGCAGCAUUCACCCCCCAACCGCCGCAACAAUGGCCUCCUCUCCCUAGCCACGCGCACCUCACGCACGUAGCGCCAUCACGAGCCUCCAGUUGGCCUCGUACGGCCUCGCACCUGCAACAACCUGCAGCGAACGCAACAAACAAAGCAGGGGCAGACCAAAACAACAGAAAAUGAUAGCAAAAAGGGCAGAAAUAGUAGGAUAUUCUUGGGGAACUUUUUUCAUUUUUUCGGCAAUAAAAAGGCCAUUUUCCAGCAUUUGUAAGGGAGGGGGGAACGCAUAUUGUAGAACAUACGCAGAAAAUCAAUACAAAAGAAAGAAAAAAAAAAGGUUUUCUUUUCCUUCCACUUUCUUUUCUUCUCCGAUGGUUUUUUUCUUAUCGUUUGUUAUUAGCCUUAUAUAAGUCUAUAUAUAUAGAGCAAAUAACAGAAAGAGGGAGAAGUUAGAACUCUUACCUGGCCGCCGGAUCUCUGACCAUCUCCGUCGCCAUCGGAGUCUCGGCAGGGGUCGAGAGCGCAAGAGAGGCGCAGAGAGGAGAGCGUUUAAGUUCUCUAUUUUUUUUUGUUUUUUUAUUUAUUUUAUUUUUCUUUUAUUUUUUCUCUUUCUUUUCGUUUUGAAAGAAUGAAAGGAUGCCUAUCAGAUUAGGGUUUUAACUUUGGCCCUUAUGGGAUGUGAAACGACGCCGUUUGGAGUCUGAUCAGUGGCUCCAAAACGGUGCCAUAUUGGAGCCAUGACCCGAUAACCCGAUCCGAUCGUGGCUUGACCUGCGUGUUUUGAAAAGGGAGGGUUAUUUGCGCUCCAAGUCCUCCUUGUUUGUGUUUGGUUUCAAGUUGGUUUAUGCUGCUUCUUUUAAAUUUGGCCUGUCAUUUCAUUUCUGUUUCAUUUUAGUCCGUGUUGAAACGCUGGGUGUUAGGGUGGGGAUUAUUUCCUGAUUGGUCAUUCGCCCUUUUAGCGCGUUUUAUUUUGGUCCCUGGACCAUUCUUUUAGUUAUUUACAGCUUUAAUCUCGAAAUUCAUCUUAAUUUUUAAUUUAGUCUUUUUAUUAUUCUGUUUAUUUUUUAUUUAUUUUUAUUUAAAAUUAAUAAGUUUAAUAUUAUCACCAUUGGUAUUACUAUUAUUGCCAUAUUUCUAUUUAUUUGUUUAGCUAAAUGUAAAUAUCUUUAAAUAUCUUUAUUAUUAUUAUUUUUUACCCACUUAUACUGUUUUUAAACUUUGUUUUAUAUAUAUAUAUAUACUUAUAUAUAUUUUUAUAUUCUAAUCUAUAUGCAUUUUUAUUUAUAUAUAUAUGUAUAUACAUGGGACUUCUAUAUUUUAUAUUCUAUAAUCUAUAUGCAUUUUUAUUUAUAUAUAUAUGUAUAUACAUGCGACUUCUAUACUUUAUAAUUUUUUUAAAUAUAUAUAUAUAUAUAUAUAUAUAUAUAUGCACGUAUACAUUUUUAUAACCUAUACAUAUAUUUAACAAUUCCUAAAUAUAUAUUUUUAUGUUCUAUUGUUUUAAAUAUGUACAUACUUAUAUUUUCAUAUAUAUUUCUAUAAUUUAUAUAUAUUAAUAUAUCAAUACACAUUUUAAUUUCACGAAUAUAUAUAUACUUACAUGCUUUUUUAUCUUACAAAUUUUUUAUACCUAUAUAUACAUAUAUAUAUUACUCUUGUAAUUUUAUUCAUUUCUUUAUUUAUCUUUUAUUUAUAUUUUCAUCAUCAUUUAGAAUGAAUGUUUUAAUUUUAUUGCUUAUAUGUUUGCAAUUGUGUAUUUUAUUAGUUUGUCUUUGUAUUUAUUUUACUUCGUAGCCCUCGUUUGUAUUAUUUUGCUUACAUCAUCAUCAUUCCAUUACGCCCAUUUUAUUUAGAUUUUCAAAAAAAAAGAAAUUUAAAAAAAAUAUAAGUAAUAAUCGGUAUUUGGGAUCUUCGAAAGAAUCAAGCCCUAACGUAUUGGGUUCCGAUUUUCUUCGUUGAAUCUAAAUAAUCAAGAUUUUCUUUACAUACAAAUUUCAAAUAACCCAUUCUCGGGAAUUCGACACGUUGUGUCCUAACGCAUUGGAUAUGACAUGUUAUUUUCUCGAGACGAGGAUUUUUCUAACAAAGGCAAUAUUCGAUAUUUAGGGAUAUUGUGAAAUCAAGCCCUAACUUACUGGGUCUUGAUUUUCUCAUUUAAUUCAAAUAAUCGGAUAACCUUCUUAAAACGCAUGGGUUUUAAAAGUCAAGAGAUAAAUUUAAUUUUGAAGAUUUAAAAUGUUGCACUCUAACUUACUGAGUGUGACGAUUUAUUUCUUUGAAAUAAGUGAAUCUCAUCGUCUAAUUCAUUUUAUCCAAAAGAAAAGGAUCGUAUUUUAAAAUCUUUUCAAAAUUUCGACAUUAAGACGUUAAACAAUCAAUUCGGUACCAAUUUUGGGCGUUACGAGGGUGCUAACCCUUCCUCGUGCGUAACCGACUCCCGGACCUAUUUUCUCAGAAAUUCGCAAACCUAAAAUUAUUUUCAAGGUGACCCGAUCACACCUUAAUAAUAAAAGAUCGGUGGCGGCUCCCAAUUUUCAUUUUCAAAAGUCGAUCCACGGUUUUCUAAAAUGGUUUCGAUAGAAGGCUUGUUCAACCUUGAUAAAUGUUUUAUCAUUGAGGUAGACUUUUUUGAAGUAGUUGCCAAAGUGCCAAUGGUAGUGUCCUUCGUAUCUAGCACUACAACAAGCAACAAAACUUGUCAUUUUUGGUGUUGAAAAUCUUUUCCACAAAAUCAAUUGGGCAAUGACUUGUGGACGUGUGCUGGUACACGGUUUACAAAUUGAUUUUCAUGAUAUUUGAAUGUAUUUGAAAAUGUUUACAAAUUGGUACCAAAGAUGAGAAAGGAUCGAAUUGUAAAAUGAUGUUUAGAAAUGUGUACUAAGCCCGAAUGAACAUAUGAUAGGAUACAAUUGGCAUGCCAAUAGGGGCAUUUCGCACGCUGUAUGGGUUUGAUAUGUGAUGAGGUAAUGAUGUGCUGAUCACACUGAUUGUAUCAAAAUUUAGCAUUUAUUGCGAAUUAUUAAGUUAUAGUUACAGUGAUUCAGGUGUAUUUUGGGGGGAGGAUGUGUAGCCUAUAAGCUUGGCACUCAGUGCCGAGGUGUGUUUCUGGAGGGAUGUAUAGUCUACAGGCUUGACACUUAGUGCCCAAGUGUGUUCAUCAAUGGUAUGGCUCGUUUGAGCAAUCAUAUGUGUUUUAAGUGGUUACCCAUGUAUUCGUAUUUGUUCAUUAUAGUUCAUCAAGUUAACGGUUUUUAUAAAUGGGACAUUGGUUGAAUAGUAAUAAAUAUAAUAUAAUAAAUGAUAGAUGAAUGAUGUAAAGUUUGCUUAUGUUCAAUGGUUAGUUGACAUGAUAUUGAUUUGGAUCAAUUUGUAUAAUAUGGAAUGAUAUGACUUAAAUGUGAUGAACUCACUGUUGAUAUGAAUUGUGGUAAUAGGAUAAAUCGUUUAGUUAAUUGUUUUGUCAUGUAAUUGUGGGAAUUAAGGUAAGUUACAUUGUUUUAAACCUAUGAACUUACUAAGCUUAUUUAAAGCAUACUCUGUUUCAUUUUCUAUUUCUUGUAGUUAACAUUUUGCAGAACUAGGUGAUAGGAUCAUCUCGAAGGUCAUACUAUCCAACCUCCACUUUGGUAGACUUUUAAACCAUUAAACUCGGUGAUGUGGCAUGUAAUAGGAGUUGAUUUGUAAAUACAUGUUUUGUUGAAGUUGAGUGUUAAAUGGUGAUGUAUAAUUGUAUAUAUGUUUGUUAGCAAGUUGAUAUGCUAACUUUUGACUUGAAUGAUAGCAUUUGAAUGUAAUGUUUUGGUGAUAGGGUCAUUUAUGCGUGAUGAUAAUUUGGUGUUUGGAUUUCAUAUAAGGCAUAUAUGUGAUCAUAAUCUAAUUGACAUGAGAUAAGAUUAAUUACUUGAAUUGAUGCAUGUUAUAUUAUGGUGCUAUUGAGGCAUAUUAAUUAGAUUCUAGGGAUCAUGGUUUGUGAUUUAUUUUGGCAUGAAAUUGUACAUUUUGGAUGAGUUAUCAAGUGGAUAGUUAUUAUGCAUAACUUAGGUGAUGAAUUGAUUUUGAUAGUUUGUUGAAAAAGGUACCUUUUUUGUAUACACAGGCUAACACACGGCCAAAUAUUACACACGGGUAAGUGACAUGGUCGUAUGCUUUGUUUUUAAUUGGGAGGUUUUGGGUUACACAGUUCCAAUUUGUUACAUGGGGUGACCACACGCCCAUGUGAUACUGUAGAUUUGGUCAUUAGAAUUUCCACACGGUUUUAGUCUCUCUCACAGCCUAGCCACACGGCCGUGUGAUUGUUUGUAAGUUUUUGCAUUUAGGUUUCCACGAUUUCAUUGAGUUACACGGCCAGGUUACACGACCAUGUGACUCGAAUUUCGCACGGUCACCGAUUGUAACACGGCCUAAGCACACAACCAUGUAACCCUGUAUUGCAAAUUUCUCCUUGAUGUUUAAAAGUUUGUAAUUAAGUCUUUAUUUGUUUCUAGGUUGGUUUAAGAGCUUUCAUAAGCUUGAUUGAGACUCGUAAUUGUUUGUAGGUCAUAUUAUAAAUGAACUAUAAAUUGUUUUGUUGUUUCAUUGAAUGUUAAAGUUAGAAAUGUAUGUGAUUUAUUCAGUUAACUGUUGUAGAAUCCUGUAGCUCGGGCCCGACAACCGGACCGGGUGAGGGGUGUUACUUACCAAUAAUGAUGAUCAAGUGGAAUGUUCCAAGAAGUAUGUUUUGAUCCUUGUUGAAAUCUCUAACCAUCAAGUUAUUUUUUCAUUAUUGUGGAGCUCUUGGUCAUAUUAGACCUAAAUACUUUAACAUGUUGAAAGAUUAAUGGUGGAAGCAAGUAGUGGCAGAACCAACGCCCACUGCUCCUAUCACUGCUCCAGGUCAAGGGUAAAAAUCUAUAUGAGGGAGAAUGAGAGGUCAUCUCAUGGAUUUGAUGAACAUAAGAAGAGAAACUGGGUUAUCUGUCAUUAUUGUAAUAUGGUUGGUCAUAUCAAACCGCAUUGUUAUAAGAUGUUGAAUGACCUGAUAUGACAAUUGUUUGAAGACAAGUUGCAACUCAAUCAAGAUACAACUAGAAACAUGUAUGGGUGAGAAAAGAUUGACAAUUGAUUGAUGUAUGUUAGAAUCGUGAAGUGGAAACUGACGCAACAACUUUUGAAAAUCAAGAUGAAAAUAUUUAUGCUCUCUAGAGAUCUUGUGGUAAAAAUCCUUGUUGCUCCAUGAGUUAUAACUCUCACCUACAGAGCUAUUGAUAAGUUAGCAUCCAUUGCACCCUAUGUUGAAACACCUUAUUGAGGGGGAGUGUGUUAAUGCUACAAUUAAGGGGGAGUUUCUUCUUUGCCAUGCUUUUUGUUAUUGAUUCUGUUUAUUCAUGAUGUUGCCUACAUGUUAUUACUUUAUGUAAUUGAUAAAACUUUAGCUUAUGGAGAUGUCGAGAAGAGCGGCAACCUUGGCCAAACUGCUAGGUAAUGCCAUAAUAUAACCCAUGGCCCAUCCAUUAGCACCUUUGAGUAAUCAUCGUCAUCCUGAAACUUGAUCAAGUAAAAAUCUUUCUUCAAAUCCAUUAAUUGAAUGGAUUUAUUCAGCUUUCAGAGUACAUACACCUUGUUAGAGAAAGCAUUAAAAGUUAUGCGUCGGCCCAAAAGUUUGAUGUUGACAGUACCCACACCAUUACGCUUCUCAAUAAAUUUGUGAACCUGAUUUGAAAAACUAAUAGAAGGUAUUCCAUCAACAUUGGUCGUUGUGAUGUCCCCCUCAUGGAACUCAAAAUCAUCAUCUUGUGAAACACUAGAAUGAUGUAAUGAAGAACCCAAAAAACGUGUCCUUAAAGGAUGUCCUAGGCAUCAUUGGUUCCUUCAUCUGCAAACCAUUCCCAUCAACCAUCGGAUCAUCAAUAUCCGGUGGCUCAUCCGGUCGCCUCCAUACCUUCUUGGUUGUCUGACCAAAGUUGACACUGGAAGUAGCGGAGUUGGAGCCAAUCACAAAAGCACCUCUGGAGAAAUUCUAUAACAUGUAAGUCAUUUAAUCAAUAAGAUAAAUCAAUAAUCAAUAAUCGCUAUAUGAUUAUUUUAAUACUCGUAAGUACCUGCUGCUCCAAAAUAAUAAUAAUUAAGCCUAGACCUGAAUUUGAUCUGCUCCAACAAUUUGUUUCAUUACUAAUCUAUUAAUAAAAUGUUGAAAAAUAUAUUUUUUAUAUUAAUAUGAUCAUUAAAUUUAUAUUAUUUUUAUUUUUUAAAUUGAAUUUAGGUGAGAUGAAUGAAAACUAAUAUUAAAAAGGUCAUAAUUUUCUAUUAGAUCUUGUACUUUGCGUAAGUUAUGGAUUUAGUACUUAUACUUUAAUUUGGUUAUUUUCAGUCCUUGUACUUUUAAAUUUGAAAAUUUUAGUCAUGACCAAAUGAUUUAUUUUUAAAAAUUGAUGUGUCAAACAUAGUGUCACAUAUGUAAUGCUAUGUUUGUUUGUUAUUUUCACAUUUUAUUCACAAAAAAUUAAGUAAUAGAUUUAACGACCGUCAUUUGCAUUAAGAUUAAAAUUUUGAAAUUCAAAAAAAUCUAAUUGGUGAGUAUGGACUAAAUCUAUAACUUUAUGCAUAAUACAUGAAUAAUGACAUAAUUUAAUCAAAUAAAUUUAACUGUUACCAUUAAAUCAGGGCUACAAUUUCAAAAUUCAAAAUAAAUAAGAAUUAAAAUUAAAGUCUGAAGUUUAAUAUCAUAUUAGACCUAUAAAAAAAAACUCUCCGUCUAAAGUCUAAUCCAAGCCGGGCGUCCUACUCGGCAUGUGAACAAAACUACUCAUAAGGCGCGAUAGACAUUGAUGUUUUAACUUAUAUAAUAAUAUGUCUGACUUAUACUUCCAACUAAUCUUUAUGUUGUUCGAAGGAUCCAAAAGGAAAAAAGGACACUAACCCAUAUCCAGGAAUUGCUGACACGUUUUUUUUUGUCUCUUGUUUUUUUAAUGAUUGAGACAAGACUAAUACGACGGAGUUAAUUAUUGUGAUGAUAACUACCGAUUAUUAAAAAACCCCUUAAAUUACAAGGAGCAUCUGUUAUUGAGACUACAAGGAGCAUCUAAGUUCAGAAUUAAGACAAGCAAAAUGAGUGGCUUGAUGGAGCUUGUAAUUCUUGUCCCAUGUUGUUUCUUCCUCGUAGCUUUAAUAAAGUUCCUUUAUGAUUACCUGUGGGUACCUCUCCGUAUACAGCAUCUGAUGAAUUCACAGGGAAUCAAAGGACCUCCUUACAAAUUCAUCCAUGGAAACAAUGAAGAAGCUACCAAGAUGAGACAAGAAGCAUUAAGCAAACCUAUGGCCUUGAAGCAUGAUAUAUUUCCUAGAGUGCAGCCACAUGUUUACAC
rnacentral:lncRNA from 1 species